CAGCAUUUAAUCUAUUCUGAAUUUGACCACUAUAAGCCAUAAGAAAAGUUUGACAAUAAACAAAUAGUAUUCAUGUGUGUGUGUGUGUGUGUCAAAUACAUGGUAGUGUCUGUAAUGUUUUUAUUUAUUGAUUUAAGGUAUUUUUACGCAUAAUAUUUAAAAAAAAUUACGUUCUGCACUCCUCUGUAUUCUUUAUAAGUGUGAGAAAUUUCAUACUCCACCGUCCGCGCAAUUUUCGUAAAAAGUGGUACAAAGUUUUUGCUUCACGUAUUAAUAUAUAGAUGUAUAUGACUUUGGCAGAGUCGAGCGAGCAAUUUAAUCUUUAUUAAUUUACUCACGUGCUUUUCUCACUAACGGCCGUUUUCAAUAACCUAUCUAUCCCUAGUUUCGGUUACUAAAGAUAGACAAAUCUAUAUUUUUGUCCUUACUUACGUUCCAAUAACCUAUCGACGGGCAGCAGUUCCUAUCGGAUUUAUCUAUCCAUCGUCGGGAGGACGGAUAGCCUGCUAAAGAUAGAACGCUCAUACAAAUCGUGCUUACUUCCGUUUCAAUAUGAGUUUUAAGUAACUCUGCGGUAGGCGGCGCUAUCUCUAGUAUGGGCAUUCGCUUAUCUGUCAAAAUCGGCCGGUUACAUGUUUAUCUUUCGAAAGUAAAUCGCUAUAAUUUAAUAAUUGUUUCUCUUCAUAUUGGCAUAUUGUAGCAGUGAUGAUAGUGAUAUGGAAUUAUUUCAAAUGAUAAUGGAUUGUGAUGCAGAUAGUGAUAGUGAGGCCGAUAUCAUAUGGUUAGGAAAAUAAAGAUCGCCUGAAUUACAUGGCGAAGAUCAAUAAUUACGAAUUUGACUAUAGAUUUCUGAGCAAAGGUGUUGUGAAUCAAUUGAUUAAUUUAAUGAGACCAUAUUUGAGUGUAACGUCAAAAAGGUAAGAUAAAUUUUAACCAUAAAAGUACUCGUUAUUACAACUUAUAUUUGUUUAUAGCAAUAGCAAAAUUAUACCUAAUUUUUGUUGUGUUACAAAAUCACACUCAACAGGAAUUCUAUAAUACUGCUGGAUUCCCAUGGUGCCCUAAAUGACAUUCAUAUACAUAUACUAAUACAAUAACCUGGUAGGCUAUUUACCUUCAUUCUUAUUACACACUGAUACCUCUACAUUUUAUAUUUGUGUUACAGAUUCAAAUAUAGGAGAGGAAUUUAGAAAUAGAAAAAGAGCAUUUUGAAUGUGUAAUUUGUGUGCAAUGCAUCAUUGAUGUUUCAAAAUGUUGUUGCUUGAUGGCCUGACUCCAUGAUACAACUAUAAUUAACCAUUCCGAUUGAAAAGAUGCAUUGGUGUUUGUAAAAGAAGACUCCCUGUAUUAUCAUUGAAAAGUAGAUUAAAACUAGAAAAUAUGCAAGCUGUUAUUAUAGCUGCCAUGCUGCAUAAUAUCGUCAGGAGUAUGAAUUUAGAAGAAUUAGAAUCAGAAAUUUCAGUCGCAGAUACAUUACAGGAAAAUAAUAUAAUUGUUCGUAACAAUUUUCCAGAACGUACAUCUGAAAUACAACUACUUAUAAAUAAUUGCUUCCAAAGAUAAUUUAUAAAAUAAACUCCAAUGAUAAUUUGA